UUUAGUUUUAUUUUAUUUUAGUUUGCACAAGUUGAACCCUGUCUGGCGUCUGCCGGCCAUUUGGAUGAAAGGAAAGUACAAGUUUUCUUAAUGGCCAAAAUGGAUCGAGUUGGACAUAAAAGGCACAUCGUAAACGGCAUCAACAACUGCUCAGGGAUUCAAUUUAUCUGACACUGCACAGCUGACAGUUUUCACAUUUGACAGUUCGAACGACUUAAUACACAAACAAAAACAAAAACGAAAAUGAAUUGGAACUUCAAUGAAAAAUGUUCUCUUACAGGAUGUAACUCGGGAAAACUAAAUCAAAGCGUGAAAACAGGAGAGAAGUCGCCGAAGAUUGAAUACCCUUGCAGAUACAUUGCGGAUCGAAUGUUCCUAUAGAUAAAAGAUAUCGGAAGAAACUAAAAAGGUUUUACGAGACGAUGAUUCUGGAUAUCAUAAAUAGAAAAUUACAAAUAAGAAUUGGAGUACAAUAAGAUUCCACUACAGAAAAAUGUUUUAAUUAAGUGCGAACUCAAGUAAUAUCUAAUAGACUUUAAAAAUGUGUAUAAAUUGGAAAAUUUAAUUAAGGAUCAACUCUGAAUAAAU